UACGAAGGGAGCAAGCGUUGUCCGGAUUUAUUGGGCGUAAAGAGCGCGUAGGCGGCCGAGUAAGUCCGACGUGAAAUCUGGAGGCUCAACCUCCAGCGGUCGUUGGAAACUACUCGGCUAGAGUCCGGAAGAGGCGAGUGGAAUUCCUGGUGUAGCGGUGGAAUGCGCAGAUAUCAGGAGGAACACCGAUAGCGAAGGCAGCUCGCUGGGACGGUACUGACGCUGAGGCGCGGAAGCGUGGGGAGCGAACAGG
rnacentral:rRNA from 1 species